AUAAUACUCCCUCCGUCCAGAAUUACUUGUCAUCAAAAUGGAUGUGUCUAGAACUAAAAUACAUCUAGAUACAUCCAUUUCAAUGACAAGUAUUUUCGGACGGAGGGAGUAGUAG
rfam:Triticum aestivum genome assembly, contig: Triticum_aestivum_CS42_TGACv1_scaffold_594335_7BS